UAGGGAAUUUUCCACAAUGGGCGAAAGCCUGAUGGAGCAACGCCGCGUGCAGGAUGAAUGCCUUCGGGUUGUAAACUGCUUUUGUUAGUGACGAUUAUGACGGUAGCUAACGAAUAAGGGUCUGCUAACUACGUGCCAGCAGCCGCGGUCAUACGUAGGACCCAAGCGUUAUCCGGAAUUACUGGGCGUAAAGAGUUGCGUAGGUGGCAGAGUAAGUAGAUAGUGAAAGCGUGUGGCUCAACCAUACAUCCAUUAUUUAAACUGCUCAGCUAGAGGACGAGAGAGGUAGACGGAAUUCCUAAUGGAGGGGUAAUAUCCGUAGAUAUUAGGAGGAACACCGAUGGCGUAGGCAGUCUACUGGCUCGUUCCUGACACUAAGGCACGAAAGCGUGGGGAGCAAACAGG
rnacentral:rRNA from 1 species